rnacentral:rRNA from 1 species
GACGGAGGGUGCAAGCGUUGUUCGGAUUGACUGGGCGUAAAGGGCGUGUAGGCGGUUGGUCAAGUCCGGUGUGAAAGCCCGAGGCUCAGCCUCGGAAGUGCAUCGGAAACUAGCUAGCUAGAGCGCGAUAGAGGAGGGUGGAAUUCCUGGUGUAGCGGUGAAAUGCGUAGAUAUCAGGAGGAACACCUGCGGCGAAGGCGGCCCUCUGGAUCGUUGCUGACGCUGAGACGCGAAAGCGUGGGGAGCAAACAGG